UACAGAGGGGGCAAGCGUUGUCCGGAUUUAUUGGGCGUAAAGAGCGCGUAGGCGGCCAGAUAAGUCCGGUGUGAAAGUCAAAGGCUCAACCUUUGAAUGCCGCUGGAAACUGUCUGGCUAGAGUCCGGGAGGGGCGAGUGGAAUUCCUGGUGUAGCGGUGAAAUGCGCAGAUAUCAGGAGGAACACCGGUGGCGAAGGCGGGUCUCUGGGCCGAUAUCGACGUGAGGAGCGAAAGCGUGGGGAGCGAACAGG
rnacentral:rRNA from 1 species